UACGUAGGGGGCAAGCGUUGUCCGGAUUUAUUGGGCGUAAAGAGCGUGUAGGCGGCCAUGCAGGUCCGUUGUGAAAACUCGAGGCUCAACCUCGAGACGCCGAUGGAAACCGCAUGGCUAGAGUCCGGAAGAGGAGAGUGGAAUUCCUGGUGUAGCGGUGAAAUGCGCAGAUAUCAGGAAGAACACCCGUGGCUAAGGCGGCUCUCUAGUACGGUACUGACGCUGAGACGCGAAAGCGUGGGGAGCAAACGGG
rnacentral:rRNA from 1 species